AUGAGGAAGAAGUUUCACCUCAUAUGCAACAGGAGUGGUAAAUCGAGGGCAACUCCGGACCUGCAGAGGAAGCGGAAGAGAAAAUCUAUAGAGAAGACAAAUUGCCAAGCAAAGGUAAUAGUGAAACUCACUAAAGGCCAAUGGGAGUUCACAACAGUUCGUAAUGAGCAUAACCAUCCGCUAUGUCCAAGUGCUUCCCUCACAAAAUUCUACUUGAGCCACAAACACAUAUCAACCGAAGAAAGGUCAUUUCUGAAAGUUCUGCAACGAACUAGGAUACCUCCAAAUAAAGUUAUGAAGAUUUUUAGGAGAAUGAGAGGCAGCUUUGGAAGCAUACCAUUCAAGAAAAAAGAUGGGACCAAUUUACUAUGUAUAGAACAACAUAGAAAAGAGAACUCAGAUGUUGGAAGAAUGUUGAUGUACUUCAAAGAAAAGGAGCUUCAGGAUCCAAGUUUUCAAUGCAUGAAGCAAACAGAUGAAGACAACAUAGUUCGGAGUGUUUUCUGGACUGAUGCGAGGUCAAGGAUGGAUUAUGAGAUUUUUGGAGAUUUCCUGUUGUUUGAUACUACCUAUACCACAGAUAGGCAUCACAUGCUAUUUGCUCCUAUUAUUGGAAUAAAUAACCAUGGGAGAACCCUCUUGUUAGGAUGUGCCUUGUUACAUGAUGAGAGCGCUGAAACAUACAAAUGGAUGUUCGAAACACUUUUGCAUGUGAUGGAAGACAAAAUGCCAGUAUCAAUUAUAACAAACCAGGAUGAAGCUAUGGCAAAAGCAAUUGGAGAGGUCAUGCCACAAGUAAGGCAUCGGUUGUGCAAAUGGGAUGUACUGGAAAAAGCACAGCAAAAUAUUUCAGCCUUCAUAGCAGAAAGUGGCAACAUAAAAGCAGACCUGAAUAGCUUGAUUGACAACUCACUGACAGAAAAAGAAUUUGAAGAAGGGUGGGAUGCACUCAUUGAGAGAUACGGUGCAAGUGAAAACGAGUACCUACAACUCUUGUGGCAAAGAAGGAAAAACUGGGUGCCUGUUUAUUUCAGAGAAGAUUUCUAUCCAUUUGUCCAAUCACAUGGAUGUGACGAAGGGAUGAACUUGUUAUUCAAUGACUAUGUGCUUUCUAUUGACAGAAUAGAGAAGUUCAUUGAAAGAUAUGAGGAGAUACAUAAGAAUAUAACUAAAACAGAUGAAGAAGAUAGACUGCAAACAGGAACUGUACCUUUAUGCUUUUCAUUGCAGCCAAUAGAAAAGCAUGCAGCUGAUAUUUACACAAGGCAAAUAUUUCUGAAAGUACAGAGAGAACUUCUCCACUCUACCGCUUUCAAUGUGCAGGAGGUCCAAAGAGGGGCUGUGUACCGACUAAACAAGGUUUUCAGCUAUGAGAAUCCAGAGUUUGAUCAAAAUAACUUUGAAGUGCAGGUUGAAUCUGGCACCAAUGCAUUCAAAUGCCAGUGCGCAAAGUUUACCAGGGAUGGAAUACUGUGCUGCCACAUAUUCAGACUUUUCACACAGUUUGGAAUCAAUCAAAUACCAGAGCAGUACAUAGUGCCCAGAUGGACUGAAAAAUUCAGAGAAGAGAAGGAGAAACAGUACAAGAAAAAAUGCUCAGAGCAGAUGGACACUACAAUGAGAUACACAAAUUUUAUGACUAAAAUGGCUGACCUCGGCAAAACAAUAUGCAGCGAUGGCGCAAAAUACGACGCAUUCAUGCUUGAAGUCGACAAGAUUCAGGUGAACUUCGCAACAGCACAAAAAUAA
rnacentral:rRNA from 1 species